rnacentral:lncRNA from 1 species
GCAAAUGCCCUCAGCAGGAAAAGUGCAGGUAUCUUAGCCCAUUUGAUGGUUUCAGAAUACAUACCAAUUGGGGCCACGCAACAGGUUCGACUUCAUGAUCUGAGGAGAGUCACAUGUUUGGGCCGCCUGACAGUCCAGCCCGAGUUAAUCCAGAGAAUAAGGGAAGCCCAGACAGUUGACCCCGCCCUGGUAGCCCGCAUGAAGG